ensembl:lncRNA
GAACACACUUAGGAACAUAAACAACUUUGGUAAGAUAUAUCUUUCGAGUCUUCUUAGUGCGCUAAGAGUGAACGUUAUCGGGGAACCGGGCCCAGAUGAUUACGUUCCAGAUACCACUUCCGAAAGUGACAGUGAUGUUAGCCUUACACUAAACCAGACAAAACGUCAGCUUCUUGAUGAACUGGAUGUUGAUCAGUCUGGCUCAGUGAGUUGCCCUGACUGUGACACCACAAUGUCAUACAAAAUGCACAGACUUAUAUCUGAAGCAUCUGGAACAGGAGAAGAACCCAGUUCAAGUCAGAACACAACCGAUGGCGUAGUUGUUAGUGUAUACCAAAAAAGAGAUGGUGCUAGAGUGUACAACAAGAGACAUUACUGCUUGUACUGCAGUAAAGCAUAUGCUAAGAUGGCAAGGCAUCUAGAAAGUUCACAUGUAAAUAAGUCUGAUGUGGCUAGAGCUCUAAGCUUUCCAAAGAGUUCAAAGGAGAGAAAAAAACAGCUUGAUUAUAUUCGCAACAGAGGAAACUAUGCUCACAAUGCAGCUGUUAUGGAGUCAGGAAAGGGGGAACUAGUGCCAUUUAAACGACCACGUAAAAAAGUGCAGGGAGAAGAUUUCAGGCAUUGUGCAUACUGUCAAGGACUUUUUACAAGAAAGGUCCUGUGGAGACACAUGCAUACUUGUAGACUUCAACCACAAUCUGACCCUCCCAAACCAUGAAAAAACUGUGUUCAGUCCAUGUGUACCUACACUGGGCCUGUGCCUUCAAACAUGACUAGACAACUGUGGGGAGUAAUCACUGCCAUGAAUCCUGACCCAAUCACAGAUAUAAUAAAAAAUUUAAUUACUAAAAUCGGGCAGCACUUGUUAAACAAAGGUGGGCUAUCAGAUAAGAAUAAACAAUGUGUGCGGGAGAAGAUGCAAGAAUUGGGAAGAUUGAUUCACAAUGCCAGGAAAGUCACCUCCUUAAAAAAAACUGGAAGAUUGUGUAAAUCCAAAGAAGUACAAGGAGACUGUCAAAGCUGUCAAGUAUACAUGUGGGUAUGACAGUGAAACCCACAAAUUCUUGAUUUCAUCACUUGCAAACAAGCUUGGAAAUUCCCUGGUUAAAGCAAGCAAACUCUUGAAAGCACAGGGCUUAAUCUCUAACGACAAACAGCUUGUGAAGAAUGCCACUGAGUUUCAAGAAGUCCAUGCAAAUAAGUCAAGUCAAGUCAAGUCAUCUUUAUUUAUAUAGCGCUUUAAACAAAAAAGAUUGCGUCAAAGCAACUGAACAACAUUAAUUAGGAAAACAGUGUGUCAAUAAUACAAAAUGACAGUUAAAGGCAGUUCAUCAUUGAAUUCAGUGAUGUCAUCAUGCAGCUCAGUUCAGUUUAAAUGGUAUCUGUGCAAUAAUUUGCAAUCAAGUCAAUGAUAUCGCUGUAAAUGAAGUGUCCCAAACUAAGCAAGCCAGAGGCGACAGCGGCAAGGAACCAAAACUCCAUCAGUGAGAGAAUGGAGAAAAAACCUUGGGAGUGGAACGAGAUGAUCUCUGCUACAGCGCUGAGGAAUAUCAGGGAAGCAAAGUGGAAUGUGCCCACUCUCAUGCCCUUUACUGAAGACGUACAAAAACUGCAUACUUUUCUCAGUCAAGUGCAAGACGAGUGGUUCAACCUGCUCUCUGAAAGUCCGUCUACUAAAGCCUGGAUGGAGCUGGCCAAGAGACACUUCUGAUCCAUAUGAAGAUGUGGACCUGGCUCUCUCCGAAGUGGAGAAGAAACUCUGCAGACGCUUCAUAAGGGUUAUCACCAGGGGAAAGCGUGGUCGGCCAGUUCCAGUUCUUCUGACUCCAAAAAUGCUGUGUUCCUUAGAACUCCUUGUUAAGCAGAGAGAGAAUUGUGGGGUUUUAAAAGACAAUGCCUAUAUGUUUGCUAGACCAGAAGCCAUGACACAUUUCCGAGGGUCAGACUGCCUCCGUGGCUUUGCAGAGGCAUGUGGUGCAAAAAGGUCCCAAGGCACUGACAUCUACCAGGCUGCGAAAGCAUUUCAACAGUGCUGAACAUGACAGACACCGAGAUGGACCAGCUGGCAAACUUUCUUGGGCACAACAUAAGAAUCCAUCAUGAGUUCUAUCGACUCCCUGAGAAGACCCUGCAACUUGCCAAGAUCAGCAAAGUUUUAAUGGCUCUUGAGCAAGGAAGAUUAGCUGAGAUCCAUGGCAAGAACUUGGAUGAAAUUGGGAUAGAUCCUGAUGGUUUGUUAAUUUAUUAGAUUUUUUUUUAAACCAUCUAUUCAAAUACCAUGUGUUUACAAACCAUUAUAUACCACUGUAAAGCUGUCCUUUGAACUUCCACAGAAAAAAAAUAUUGACUGUGAUGAGAAAGAACAAGUUAUUGACUGUGAUGAGGAAGAACAAGUUAUUGACUGUGAUGAGGAAGAACAAGUUAUUGACUGUGAUGAGGAAGAUGGGAGCAUACAAGAGGGACACUGUUUAUCUACUGUUGACGGAUUGCGCUUGCACCGACAGUGUGUACUAGGACGUGACGUAAGUCAGUCGACAGCGACGUCAUUUGUGCUCGUUCAACAACGGAAACAAAGAAGAACAGCGUUAACA